CCAGGUGAUUGUAAUUAGGUAAAUGCCCCGUCAAUCCCCAUAAAAGGGCAUGAGACUGCAGGGCCAUGGGCAUUCACAGAAAUCACACACAGAAAUUGAAAAGAAAAGUUGAAAGAAGUCAAGAAAGUCCAUUUGAAAGAGGGUGGAGCGCUGGACUCCAAAUGUAAAAAAAAACCUCAGUAGUUCUGAAGUGGAAGUAUUGCUGCAGGAAGUGAACACCAAACGAGCUGUCAUAUUUAGUAGCAUAAGUAGUGGAUAUAAAAUAACAGAGAAAAAAGAUGCAUGGGAUGCUAUUACUUGUUUUGUGAACACUGUAUCUGGAGAAGGGCACACAACUGAUGAAAUAAAAAACGGUUUGAUCUCAAAUCUGAGGCCAAACAAAUAUUGCCAGCUGAGCAUUUGGACACAGACCUGGGUCCUGUGUCAGUGGUUUCAUCUCCUAUAUCAGAAUCAGAAGAUGAUCUGAGGCUGAACCUGGCUGCCAGUACCUUCCUGCAGCAGUAUCUCCAUGCAUGCACCCAGGUCCCGUUCAACUGCCCCACAUCUAAUCUCAGAUAGCCUCAACACUGGCCACAAUCUCCAAGACACUUAAAGAAAUUAAUGCCAAUUUAAAAAUAUAUAUACAUAUAUGCACUGAAA